rnacentral:sRNA from 19 species
GGGUUACUCCUGCUCUUUCACGCUGUCUUGAUGAAGAUUCGCACCUCUAUCAAAACGGGUAACCCCGCCUCUCUGCAAGGCCUGACUGUCAGAUCAAAUCGGAACUUCUACACUUCAGAACUCGGCACUUUACCUUCCAAUAGGAGCCACUCCAUGCUUUUUCCAACAUUCAAAUCUUGCGUUUGUUGCUACGCUCAUCGCAACGAUAACCGCCU